UUGUCACCGUUGCAAUUUGACGCUCGAGUUCAAAUUCAUAUUUUUCUUCGUACGUAUUACCGCUGACCUACCACUACCGCUGACUGCUACCACUUAUAAAUGGCGUACUAGAAUAUAUUUUACCUGAAAUGGAACGAAUGUCUCUCUUUGCUAUGUAGUCUGCAACGCUGUUCAAGCAGUUGUCUAGCUGCAGAUAUAGGGUAUCUGGAAUAUAGUCCAUGCUCUGCAGCUCAAGUAGCAGGAUGUUAAUGGUAAGGUUGGAGUCAUGCGGGAACUGGAAUAAGUCAAAAUAACCUUUUGGUUGUCUUCCAUGAUUCAGAAUCCCAGUGAGAUGGGUUUUCAUUUGGCGAGCAUUGGCAUAGGCAUGCGCUAUGACUCUCAUCCUUGGAAGCAAGAGUUUUGCUUGGUCCAUGCCAUCCUGGACAAUGCAUACAUAUUUUUCUGGAUUACUUUUAGCCUUUUCUCGGUGGUGGUAAUACAGUUUUCUUUCAUUCCUAAAUGUACAUUUAAUAAUCAAGAAAAAUGAAUUUAGUAUUCUGGUUCACUCUUACUUCUACAUUUCAUCAUAAUGUUUACCUACAUUUGAAUGUUGUUAUGGAAAGUAAACAGUCUGUCAAGGUAGUCAACAACUUCUUUGUCUCGCGCUGUUCUCUUCUCUGUACUGAGGGCUGUACAGUAAUCACACCUAGUAAACCGGUUUACCUGGAAAAUGGUGUGACAAUUGACACAUAGUUUGAAACAAAUUUAAAAAACUUGAAUCAAAAUUUAUCAAAUUCUUCAGUAGGUCUAGUAUUUAUAGUCUAUUGCAUAUUUAAGAAUGAAAUAAUCAAAAUACUACUGGAUAGUUCACGUCAAAAAUUUAAAUUCUAUUACUAAUUCUAUUAUUUAUAAUCACAAGAAUGUUUAAAGCACCUUAGGGAAUUUAACAUGAGGGAAAACUGUGUGAAAAAGUUUGCAGAAUACACUGUAAUGAGUUGGCUGUUGUCCUUUAUCUUUCAUCUCAUCGCUCAUUGUUUUAUAUAUAGCCCUUUUAUCCAGAUAGCUAGGCAGAUGAAUUGUUCCAGCAUUUGGCAUCUUAUCUCCAACCUGGGAAUUGUUAAAAGUAACAUAAACAGCAAUAUUCUGAAGAGUCAUCCUAUCUUUAAUACAUAGAAUUAGCAUGUAUCAAAGUUUAAUUUAUUAUUUUAUAUUAUGAUUUAUAUUACAUAACU